AUUCCAUGCAGAGAGUAUUAGUUUGCUGAUGCUGUCAUAAUAAAACACCACGGACUGAAUAGCUUAAACAACAGAAGUGCAUUUCCUCGUAGUUCAGGAGGCGAGAGUCCAGUAUCCUGAGUUGGUUUCUCCUGAGGUCUCUCUCCUUGUAUUGCAGACAGCCACUUUGUCACUGCAGACUUGUUUCUCAUUGUGCCUGCACAUCAUUAUUCCUUCAUGUGCUCACAGCACUGUGCUCUCUCUGUGCCUGAAACAAUAUAUGCCUUUGAAAGACAUGUGGGGAAUCAGGGACUUCCCCAGGGCCCUAAAGAGCACCUUGAUGAUAAUUCUUCCAUGAUAUGACCUGACGAGGCAGUGCCAACGUUCUUUUGUGAUUAUCAGAGGUGGCAACAGCCCUGAUGAGGAGAGAUGACAUGGAUACUAGUGAGAUGUCAAGGGGCCAGUGUAGAGAAGCACCAGUUUUCUCAUUAAUACAGAAAUAGAAUGUUGAAG
ensembl:lncRNA